rnacentral:misc_RNA from 1 species
UCACGUCUUACAACUGUCAGGUACAUGUCAAGCCCAGGUAAGGUUCCUCGCGUAGUGUCGAAUUAAACCACAUGUUCCACCGCUUGUGCGGACCCCCGUCAAUUCCUUUGAGUUUCAAUCUUGCGAUCGUACUUCCCAGGUGGAUUACUUAAUGCUUUCGCUCAGACACCAACAGUGUAUCGCUGAUGUCGAGUAAUCAUCGUUUAGGGCGUGGACUAC